UACGUAGGGGGCGAGCGUUGUCCGGAUUUAUUGGGCGUAAAGAGCUCGUAGGCGGUUUGUCGCGUCUGCUGUGAAAACUGGAGGCUCAACCUCCAGCCUGCAGUGGGUACGGGCAGACUAGAGUGCGGUAGGGGAGAUUGGAAUUCCUGGUGUAGCGGUGGAAUGCGCAGAUAUCGAGGAGGAACACCGGUGGCGAAGGCAGGUCUCUGGGCCGAUACUGACGCUGAGGAGCGAAAGCGUGGGGAGCGAACAGG
rnacentral:rRNA from 1 species